UUGUGGACUGCUCCUUUUGUCACUGCUUUCACUGGGAGGCCUGGGGAGCCCAAGUUCCCUGCAGGAGGUUGAUUCUUCCAAAAAUCUUUGACCGAUGAGAACACAGCACUGCAACAGCUACUGAGAAGAAAUUAGCUCUACCCGAGCUGGAACCAGGACACCUGAUGAAAGGAUUAUGGCCACGCAUGUGUGUGUUUGCCACAGCUCAGCACUUUUCCCCUCUAAUUCUUAUGCAGAGGAGUGAAUUUGGGGUGUAUGGCAGCACCUGGGACCUGCCGUGUCCACUCAGAGAUGACUAAGCAGAUCCACAGCAGCCAGCAGCUCCAUGGUGUUGGACAAUGCCAUCUGCAAGCCAAGCCCUGCUGACAUCUCUUGCCUUAUCCUGACUGUCUGACACACCUGCUGCACAUGAAGAUGGGGACUAAGAAGUGAACUGUGACACAAGGGUUUUAGCCUGGCUCUCUCUUUACAUUGACUGGAGUCGGUCUGACACG